rnacentral:rRNA from 1 species
CCGCGUGCCGGAAGAAGGCCCUAUGGGUUGUAAACGGCUUUUAAUUGGGAAGAAGGAUAGGGUUUUGAUCUUAUUUGACGGUACCGAUUGAAUAAGCACCGGCUAACUCCGUGCCAGCAGCCGCGGUAAUACGGAGGGUGCAAGCGUUGUCCGGAAUCAUUGGGUGUAAAGGGUGCGUAGGCUGGCUCUUAAGUCUGAGGUGAAAUCUUGCCGCUUAACGGUAAAAUGGCCUUGGAUACUGGGAGUCUUGAAUCUGACAGAGGUCGGUGGAAUUCGUAGUGUAGCGGUGAAAUGCAUAGAUAUUACGAAGAACACCAGUGGCGAAGGCGGCCGGCUGGGUCAGUAUUGACGCUGAGGCACGAGAGCGUGGGGAGCGAACAGGAUUAGAUACCCUGGUAGUCCACGCUGUAAACGAUGUAUGCUAGUUGUUGGGGCUUCCGCUUCAGUGACGCAGUUAACGCAGUAAGCAUACCACCUGGGGAGUACGUUCGCAAGAAUGAAACUCAAAGGAAUUGACGGGGGCCCGCACAAGCGGUGGAGCAUGUGGCUUAAUUCGAUGCAACGCGAAGAACCUUACCCGGGCUAAAUCUGCCCUGACCGGCCCCGAAACGGGCCUUCUCUUCGGAGCAGGAUGGAAGGUGCUGCAUGGCUGUCGUCAGCUCGUGCCGUGAGGUGUUGCCUUAAGUGGCGCAACGAGCGCAACCCCUGUGGUUAGUUACCAGCA